CAUAAUUAAAAGCUUUUAAACAACUUAAUGUUCCAAUUAAAAUUUGAAAUAUAAUGUACAUCUGACGAGUGCCUCCCCAGUCAUGAACCUCACCGCACAUCACUGCCAUAGACUUGUUGACAUGGCUGAUGCACCACCAGAUGCAGCACUUUCAUAAUUAUGAGCAUGCACUCACUUUUGCUCUUUAUUUAUUAAUGCUUGCUGAACAAACUACUGUGUCAGAUCUUUGGUUCUAGUGCAGUGACAAUUGUAGCAUAGCUUGAUGGCAAAUUACCCAGGAGUGCUUGAAGAUUAAUUUUGUCUUCCUUUUCAAGCACAGCACCUAUUGCUGAACAGUCAAUAACUUAAUUUGUUUUAAAUGUUCAGUUAAAUUUUGGAAAAGCAAAGUUUCACUGUUUUCUGCACCCAUUUCUUGCUCCUGAAAUGAUAAGUGUGUGCCACUAUUGAUGUCCGAUUAUGGUGUAUGUGUGACCUGUGUUUGUGUCUUUUAUGUCCAACUUAAUAAGACUUUUUUCUUAAGGCCACACUCUGCAUUAGAAUAAUAAAAAUGAUGAGUAGAAAAGAGGAAGAGAAAAUCCAUUGUAAUCAAAUAUUACAACAGAUGCAAAGGAGGCACCUACUUCGAUCAGGUAGUCAGCACCAACUCCUACAGAAGGAGAAUAAAUCAGUGGCCACUGGCCCUUUCCACAACCUGGUUGAACACCUUUAUCCUGUCGUGGAAGAGAUGCUGGUGACCCCCCACAUAUCAAGAGGAGAGGGCGCCUUCCCUGCUCAUCAGCUGCUGCAGGAAUGGUUGCAUAUCUGCAGAGUGCUGCUGCUGCUGUAGGUCCUUUUCUCAUGAGUAAAUAUAAGGACAGGAGGCAGCGCCAUUUUUGCACUGGUAAAUAUAAGAGUUGGCAGCACCUGCUGCAAAUGUGGGGAGUUUACAUGCAAAGUCCACAGCCUGUCCAUUUGGAGUCUCUGCUCCACCUGAGCUGAAAUCUCUGCAGCUCUCUCUUACUCACUCACUCACUCACUUACUAGCCAUCUCUAUCUUUUGCCCUAUCCCCAUCUCCAACAAAACACCUAACUGCCCCAUGUUUCAUAUUCAAUGUUCAUAUUUCAGUGUUUAUCAUUCAAUGUUCGUCUUUGCAAAAUAAAUGUUUUUUCUGGUUCAAA